rnacentral:rRNA from 1 species
CGCCUGUUUUUCAAAAACAUAGCCAUUAGAUGAUAUUACAUGGUUUUACCUGCCCAAUGUUAUAUAUGAAUGGCCGCGGUACUCUGACCGUGCUAAGGUAGCGUAAUCAGUUGACCUUUAAAUGAGGUCAGGAAUGAAUGGAAUAACCGGGUUUAGCUGUCUCUGUGUCACUAUAUUGAAUUUACUAUCUAAGUGAAAAAGCUUAGGGUUAAAAAAGGGAGGAGAAGACCCUUAGAAUUUUUUUUAAAAGAAAAUAAAAUUUUCUUACAAUUUUAUUGGGGCGAUAAAGAAAUAAUUAAAACUUUCUUUUAUUACAAGCCGAUUAUAUUAAGUGAGAAUAAAUUACCUGAGGGAUAACAGCAUAAUUCUAUAAAUGAGUUUGUGACCUCGAUGUUGGACUAGGAAACUAGCAGGCUAGCCGUUUGCUGUGUUAGGUUCUGUUCGAACUUUUAUUCCU